UACAGAGGUCCCAAGCGUUGUUCGGAUUCCCUGGGCGUAAAGGGUGCGUAGGUGGCGAGGUAAGUCGGAUGUGAAAUCUCCGAGCUCAACUCGGAAAUGGCAUUGGAAACUACCUUGCUCGAGGGUUGGAGGGGGGACUGGAAUACUUGGUGUAGCAGUGAAAUGCGUAGAUAUCAAGUGGAACACCAGUGGCGAAGGCGAGUCCCUGGACAACUCCUGACACUGAGGCACGAAAGCUAGGGGAGCAAACAGG
rnacentral:rRNA from 1 species